AUAAUUUCCCUCUAGACCUAGCUGCUAUAGAAGCUCCAUCUAUCAAUGGCUAAGACCCCCAGUCUUAGUGUAUAGGAGUUAUUGAAAAAUAAGGGAGCAAUACCACCUUCUUGCUCUAUCAAGAGGGCAGUAUUGCUCCUUUAUUUUCUUUUUAUUUGGUACAUUAUCAAAAAUUGAAAUAUCUCAGAAAAUAAAUGGUCGAAACAAUAUUCUAAAUAAAAUAGAAUUUCAAUUUCAAAUUAAAUUUAUUAUUCUUAAUAUUAACCUAAAUAUAUUAUAAAUAUAUUAAUAUAAAUAGAUAAAUAGAAGAAAUAAAUUAGAAAAAGUAAAUAAAAAGAGUAUAAAGAGAGUAUAAAGAGAGUGAGGGGGCGGAUGUAGCCAAGUGGAUCAAGGCAGU
rnacentral:misc_RNA from 1 species